rnacentral:tRNA from 1 species
AUUUAUAUAGUUUAAUAAAAACAUUACAUUUUCAUUGUAAAAAUAAGAAAUUUUUCUUUAUAAAUU